GCCCGGGUAGCCUAGCCUGGUGGGGCGGGGGACUUGUAAUCCCCAGGUCGCGGGUUCAAAUCCCGCCCCGGGCUCCA
rnacentral:tRNA from 2 species